UGGCUAACCACGUGAAAGUAUGUAGGUUCAAACCGAUGCUGUGGCCAACACAGAUAGUAGCAGUCAAGACAAUGACUUUUUGGACGAAGAAGAGUGACUUCAUGCAAGGAAAUGAGUUCCAAUAUUGGUGUGACGAGUCCCUUGACUGAAGGAGGAGGAGGACGUCAAGGGAGGCAUGAGCCGGCGGUGGCAGCAUGAGCCAUCACGACGCAUCGCUGGGAGGCUCCGGGCGGGGGGCAUGAGAGGUGUGACACAAGUGAGGAGGCGAACUAGAGAAGAUGAGUAGAUCGAGAUGGAUCAUACAAGGAUGAAGGGAUGUUAUAGAGCCGUUAGCCGACGGUGCUAAUUUCCUGUGUGUGUCGAUGUCGGUUGCCAUGCAGUAAAUGAAGAGUGCGUGUAUGCCUGUGGCCCCUCCAUUUUCAUAUUUGGAGUCCACACAGGCUGGGUGGCCGAGGGGAAGAGUGAGCGAUUUUUUUGUUCCGUUUUCUUUGCCUGAGUAGGUGUCUGUGAGGACUCCUCCCCCCUUGGUGAUUUUGGUGAUGGUGGUGAGAUGGUGGAUUCUUUUUUUGCGGGAUCGUUUAAUAUAUAUAGAAAUUUUUCUGAGCUUCUAUUUUA